UACGAAGGGUGCUAGCGUUGUUCGGAUUUACUGGGCGUAAAGCGCACGUAGGCGGAUUGUUAAGUCAGGGGUGAAAUCCUGGAGCUCAACUCCAGAACUGCCUUUGAUACUGGCAAUCUCGAGUCCGGAAGAGGUGAGUGGAACUCCUAGUGUAGAGGUGGAAUUCGUAGAUAUUAGGAAGAACACCAGUGGCGUAGGCGGCUCACUGGUCCGGUACUGACGCUGAGGUGCGAAAGCGUGGGGAGCAAACAGG
rnacentral:rRNA from 1 species